rnacentral:rRNA from 1 species
UUGAUUAUGACGUACUUGUACUGAUUGAGAUUUUAACACGAAGUGAGUGGCGAACGGGUGAGUAACACGUGGGUAACCUGCCCAGAAGUAGGGGAUAACACCUGGAAACAGAUGCUAAUACCGUAUAACAGAGAAAACCGCAUGGUUUUCUUUUAAAAGAUGGCUCUGCUAUCACUUCUGGAUGGACCCGCGGCGUAUUAGCUAGUUGGUGAGGUAAAGGCUCACCAAGGCAGUGAUACGUAGCCGACCUGAGAGGGUAAUCGGCCACAUUGGGACUGAGACACGGCCCAGACUCCUACGGGAGGCAGCAGUAGGGAAUCUUCCACAAUGGACGCAAGUCUGAUGGAGCAACGCCGCGUGAGUGAAGAAGGGUUUCGGCUCGUAAAGCUCUGUUGUUAAAGAAGAACGUGGGUAAGAGUAACUGUUUACCCAGUGACGGUAUUUAACCAGAAAGCCACGGCUAACUACGUGCCAGCAGCCGCGGUAAUACGUAGGUGGCAAGCGUUAUCCGGAUUUAUUGGGCGUAAAGCGAGCGCAGGCGGUCUUUUAAGUCUAAUGUGAAAGCCUUCGGCUCAACCGAAGAAGUGCAUUGGAAACUGGGAGACUUGAGUGCAGAAGAGGACAGUGGAACUCCAUGGGUA